rnacentral:miRNA from 1 species
AGUAACAAACCCAAAGAAAAC